UACAGAGGGUGCGAGCGUUAAUCGGAUUUACUGGGCGUAAAGCGUGCGUAGGCGGCUUUUUAAGUCGGAUGUGAAAUCCUGAGCUUAACUUAGGAAUUGCAUUCGAUACUGGGAGGCUAGAGUAUGGGAGAGGAUGGUAGAAUUUCCAGGUGUAGCGGUGAAAUGCGUAGAGAUCUGGAGGAAUACCGAUGGCGAAGGCAGCCAUCUGGCCUAAUACUGACGCUGAGGUACGAAAGCAUGGGGAGCAAACAGGAUUAGAUACCCUGGUAGUCCAUGCCGUAAACGAUGUCUACUAGCCGUUGGGGCCUUUGAGGCUUUAGUGGCGCAGCUAACGCGAUAAGUAGACCGCCUGGGGAGUACGGUCGCAAGACUAAAACUCAAAUGAAUUGACGGGGGCCCGCACAAGCGGUGGAGCAUGUGGUUUAAUUCGAUGCAACGCGAAGAACCUUACCUGGUCUUGACAUACAGAGAACUUUCCAGAGAUGGAUUGGUGCCUUCGGGAACUCUGAUACAGGUGCUGCAUGGCUGUCGUCAGCUCGUGUCGUGAGAUGUUGGGUUAAGUCCCGCAACGAGCGCAACCCUUUUCCUUACUUGCCAUCGGGUCAUGCCGGGAACUUUAAGGAUACUGCCAGUGACAAACUGGAGGAAGGCGGGGACGACGUCAAGUCAUCAUGGCCCUUACGACCAGGGCUACACACGUGCUACAAUGGUCGGUACAAAGGGUUGCUACCUAGCGAUAGGAUGCUAAUCUCAAAAAGCCGAUCGUAGUCCGGAUUGGAGUCUGCAACUCGACUCCAUGAAGUCGGAAUCGCUAGUAAUCGCGGAUCAGAAUGCCGCGGUGAAUACGUUCCCGGGCCUUGUACACACCGCCCGUCACACCAUGGAGUUUGUUGCACCAGAAGUAGUAGUCUAACCGCAAGGAGACGCUUACCACGGUGUGCCGAUGACUGGGGUGAGUCG
rnacentral:rRNA from 1 species